rnacentral:rRNA from 1 species
GGAAUAUUGGACAAUGGGCGCAAGCCUGAUCCAGCAAUGCCGCGUGUGUGAAGAAGGCCUUCGGGUUGUAAAGCACUUUUAUCAGGAAAGAAAUCCGCUGGGUUAAUACCUUGGCGGGAUGACGGUACCUGAGGAAUAAGCACCGGCUAACUUCGUGCCCGCAGCCGCGGUAAUACGAAGGGUGCAAGCGGUAAUCGGAAUUACUGGGCGUAAAGCGUGCGUAGGUGGUUUGUUAAGUCUGCUGUGAAAGCCCUGGGCUCAACCUGGGAAUUGCAGUGGAUACUGGCGAGCUAGAGUGCGGUAGAGGGUUGUGGAAUUCCCGGUGUAGCAGUGAAAUGCGUAGAUAUCGGGAGGAACACCAGUGGCGAAGGCGGCAACCUGGACCAGCACUGACACUGAGGCACGAAAGCGUGGGGAGCAAAC